UACGUAGGUGGCAAGCGUUGUCCGGAUUUACUGGGCGUAAAGGGAGCGUAGGCGGAUUUUUAAGUGGGAUGUGAAAUACCCAGGCUCAACCUGGGUGCUGCAUUCCAAACUGGAAGUCUAGAGUACAGGAGGGGAAAGCGGAAUUCCUAGUGUAGCGGUGAAAUGCGUAGAGAUUAGGAAGAACACCAGUGGCGAAGGCGGCUUUCUGGACUGUAACUGACGCUGAGGCUCGAAAGCGUGGGGAGCAAACAGG
rnacentral:rRNA from 1 species